AUGGCUGAUCCUCGGCAGGAGAGAGUGUGCAGACUAUGUAAAUACCCGAUACAAAUAUGUGCUCGUGGUCUUCCGUUCUCCGAAUUUUCGUUCAGAGUACCGAGACAAUUCAGAUGCACGAUGAUAGAGCCAACAUAUGAAUGGUACGAGUUUGAUGUUCUACAGCGUGGAUCGAAAUACAUCCUCGCCGGAGAAAAGGAGAUGUUUGCUAGUAUAUACAAAAUCAACAAGGGCGACACGCUGCAUUUGAACGGUUGUUCACUUGUGCACGAACACCUGGUUUUUGGCCAUUUACGCCGACUGUCAGGCGAUAUCGCAGUGCCAAGAUGUACAAUAGAUGAGUACGAGGCGGAACAACGAAUUGUGUAG
rnacentral:rRNA from 1 species